GAUGAAGAACGCAGCGAAAUGCGAUACGUAAUGUGAAUUGCAGAAUUCAGUGAAUCAUCGAGUCUUUGAACGCACAUUGCGCCCCCUGGUAUUCCGGGGGGCAUGCCUGUCCGAGCGUCAUUGCUGCCCUCAAGCACGGCUUGUGUGUUGGGCCUCCGUCCUCCUCCCGGGGGACGGGCCCGAAAGGCAGCGGCGGCACCGCGUCCGGUCCUCGAGCGUAUGGGGCUUCGUCACCCGCUCUUGUAGGCCCGGCCGGCGCUUGCCGAAACAUCAAUCUUUUUUCCAGGUUGACCUCGGAUCAGGUAGGGAUACCCGCUGAACUUAAGCAUAUCAAUAGCGGAGGA
rnacentral:misc_RNA from 1 species